rnacentral:pre_miRNA from 1 species
AAAAAGACAAACCCUGGGUUUCCGUGUCCAACGUUUGACUGUCCGUUUUAUUUGAAAAAAAUAUGAAAAAAAUUAAAAAGACAAGUCAUGCAUAAAGUAUUAAUCAUGUUUUUAUCAUCUAACAACAAUAAAAAUACUAAUUAUAAAAAAGUUUUAUAUAAGACGGAUAGUCAAAUGUUGGAUACGGAACCAUGGUUGGUCUUUUU